rnacentral:misc_RNA from 1 species
UUGUGCACAAGAUUAUUGUGUCUUGAUUUUGGAUGCAACUCAUUGGAAUUCACAGAAUUUGCCAUGACUGCUGUUGAUUGGUCGACGGAGUUGCAGACCGAGAUUGAGCUAUGGAAAUAGACCAUUUCAAAUCAAACCCAGAAAAUUUGAAUCAAACUCAAUCUUCAAGACAAAUCCACCGAUCUUAAUCAAUCCAAAUCAGAAAAAAAAAAAAUCAGACCCACCAAUCUAGAGCCAAAAUCAGAUUGACCCACCUCGUCAAAAAAAGGAAAAAGCAAGAAUUCACGAACUCUUCAAGAUGAAUGGAAAUAUUUGUCGGUGCCCAGAUGUGCAGCAAAUCAACAAACACCAUACAAUUCAAUAAGAAUUGAACUGAAUCCACAAAUAAAAGAGCAAAGAAUGGAGAGAUCCUUGCUCAGUGAGUUGGGUUAAACGCCGGCUGAGAAGGAGCCAACCCAGAGAGGACAAGGAAGAGUCAUUUAACUGGUGGUGUUAUUUAUUUAUCAGAAUUCACAAUCCGUUGAAAAGCU